UGUAAUCAUGGCCAUUAAAAUGCGGGGGCUUCGUAACAGCAACACGCGUCCUCUGCCCCGUGCCGUCCGCCCACCGCGCUCGGCUCGACGGCUCGACGGCGCUCCUCGUCCUCCGACGACGACGACUCCGGCGGCGGCGACCGGUCGUGAGUUCCAGGGAGAGGGAGAAGCUGAAGCCACUAGCCGGCGAUCCCUCUUCUCCGCCUACGGCACGAACUGCGCUCGACCCACAAAGUAGAAGAAUUUCUUAGCAGCUUCAUGUCGCGGGUGUGCUCUCGCUUCCCUUGCGAAGCCAAUAUGAGUGGAGGUCAAGAAGAUGACUACUGGCCGCUCUCGGGGAAACCGUUCUUCGAUAUGAUUCUUUCAAAGUCGCAUGUUCAUCCCCGUUAUAAUCUGUUCAUUCCUUCCAGGAUGCAUCCGCUGCUGCCUUCACAGGACACACGAGCGGUUCUCGCUUAUAAGGACAAGACAUGGGAUGUUAUGCUGUUUACGAAAGGGAAAAGGUUCGAUUACAGUUGGAGACAAUUUGUAGACGACAAUCAUCUUAAGACUGGGGAUGCAUGUGUAUUUGAACUCGUAGAAUGCCUAAGCACAAAAGUGACCUUCAAGGUUCAAAUUCUCAGAGGUGACUUCCCAGCUGAUUUGCUGGCCAAGGCUUGGUUCGUAGGAAGAGCAAUAUGCUGGAAGCUAGACCCACCAUUGAAAUACAGGCCCACCAUAUAAAUGUCUGCUGAUAACAUUUCCUACCCAUGCAUAUCGUAGCAUCACCAAGCAAGCUUUCGCGCGCUGUGGUCUCUGCACCAGCGUCAUACACGAGAGCUGCAAGAAGGCCGUAGAGGAGUGAACCUAUUGGAAUGUUGGUGAUAAGGAUGUUGUGGUUGACCCCAGCACUAUUUGGCCCAAACAACUCGGAUGUGACUGAGACUGCAGCAGAGAAUACGAAGCCGGAGCUGAGCCCAAUCAUGCCGGUACUAGUGCGCAGAAUUGUCUCACUACCUGAUGUGGCAAGCAAAAUGAAAGCGAUUGGUGUUGGAACGAGUGCUAUGGCAAGCCACCCAGUCCUUGCAAAGUAUAUCUUGCUGCAAUUAGGAACAUGGACAAGUUAGUACGUACUCACGGAGGAAGUCUGGACCAGCUGAAAGCAGACGGCCAAAGAAAGAGCAAGAUGAGUAGAGAGUGACAAAUGCACUAGUCUGAGCGCCGAAUCCAAGUGAUUGCGAAAUUUGCCCUAGAUUGUUGCUGUACACCAACCCAAUUGUUCCCCCACACAAAUAAGCCAGAUAGUAUAACCAGAAGUCCCAGCGACACACAAGCAACCUAGCCGAGUGCUCCUCGCCCAAUACUGUCAACUGAUCCUUUUCCAUCACAUUUCCACAACACCCAUCUUUAGCUCGUAGAAUGAAUGUACUUGUGUUCCCAUUCCCGUUCAUUGCAGCAUGGACCCCUGCUGGUUCGCUUCCAAUCAGUUCCUUAUGAAGCUCAAGGUCAUCAACAUCUACAAGACUGAAAGUUGACCCAUUGAGACUUAAGCUUGAACUGAUAACACGACGGGCCCAGUCUCGAGCAUAUACUAUGCCAGGGAGGCACAGGGGAAGGACAAGGAGGAGAAUGGCCCCCACCAGGAAGAGACGUGCUCGGUUUGAAUUAUAAGAGAGUGGGUUGAGUAGGAGGAGGUAAAGGCCUGUGAGGACAGCAACACCAUUGAGAAA